GUUAAAAAGCUCGUAGUUGAAUUUCUGCCCCGUAGUUUUCGUCCGCUUCGGCGGUUUACGUUUACUUCGCGGCUUUUUCUGGUUAUUUUAGGCCCCGGUCUAUUUUAUCCAGUUAAUUACUUUGAGAAAAUUAGAGUGCUUCAAGCAGGCUUUUGCCUUGAAUACUUCAGCAUGGAAUAAUAAAGUAGGACUUUGGUUCUAUUUUGUUGGUUUCGUGAACCAAAGUAAUGGUUAAUAGGAACAGUUGGGGGCAUUCG
rnacentral:rRNA from 1 species